rnacentral:lncRNA from 1 species
CAAAUCUGCCCUCCAAAUUAGAGAGUUUGUAUUAUUGUUUGUUCACAUGAGGGUGCAAUGACUAUAGCAAUGAGAGAUUGAAGAGUGUUUAUCUGGAAAAAGUUGGAAAUGAAACUUUAACUUGAGGGGAGUGGAUUGCUGGGUGAGGCAAUAGAGAUUGAGCUUAGUAGGUUGAUAAAUUUGUAGUGCUUCAUGUUGGGUCAGGACAAGUUUUUUAUAAUUCCUUUAUGGCUCAGUUUUCUUUUGGGGCAUCAUUAUUC